UUUACGUGGGGGAUAGGCGGUGGGAAACUGCCAGUAACUACCCCAUGUCGUUAAGGUUUGGCAUCAAAUUAUAACGAAAAUUACGGGUGGUAGAGGAUUGGUGUGCGUCCGAUUAGCUAGUUGGCGGGGUAACGGCCCACCAAGGCGACGAUCGGUAGGGGGUGUGAGAGCAUGGCCCCCCCACACGGGUACUGAGACACGGACCCGACUCCUACGGGAGGCAGCAGUAAGGAAUAUUGGACAAUGGGCGGAAGCCUGAUCCAGCCAUGCCGCGUGAAGGAAGAAUGCGCUCAGCGUUGUAAACUUCUUUUGAAUGGGAACAAUAACCUCCACGAGUUGGGGGCUUGAGGGUACCAUUAGAAUAAGCACCGGCUAACUCCGUG
rnacentral:rRNA from 1 species